CUACACUUAGUAAAAAUAAAACAGAACCAAAUUUCUUCAUCGUAACUAAACAGACCCUUGACAUUCUCUCUCCUCUCUCACAAAUUCUUUGUCCUCUUCUUCAUCUCUUUGGCAUCCAUGGCUAUGGAUACUUGAUCCCACUAAGUCAGGAUUCACAGAAUUACAAGUAAUAACGGUUCAUCUCCCCAAAAUGCUAUACACUCAAGUUCUCAACUCACAUUCUCUCUAUCUUUCGGCGAAUCGAUGUCAAUGCGGACGAGAUCUACGGCGUUUCUUAGGUUAGAGUGAGUAUAGGAGGUGACAUAGGUCAACGGCGAGGUUAGGAGCGCGGUCGAAAUUAAUGUCUGUACUAAUCUUAUUCAUCAUACUCUCUUUUUUCUCCAAGACUUUGAGAAAGAUGUUCCAAAUUUUGAUUAAUUACAUUUGAAUUAUUAGUUUAAAGUUUCAAUUUUUAUUGAAUUGCAUUUAAUUUCUUGUUUUACGGGUGAAUUUGAAGGUUUCUAUUUGUAAUUUUAUGUUCCAAUGCGUUUCUUUCUCUUUCACUCCUACCCAAUAGACCUUUUUGAUACUAUUUUCCUUAUUUUCAUUGGUUUUUUGGGUUGUAUUAAUCUACUCACAGCUGUGUGUAUGGAGGCUGAUUUUCUAAUCCCACCAUUCGGUCUAGAAAAAACUUCAGCAUAAGAUGUAUGAAGUAGAUUUUAAGUUGUCUUUACCAAAUUAUAUAAAGGUCCAACAUUCUUUCUCAUUUAACAUAUAUUGUUGUGGGGCCUGAUGUGUCCUUUGAUUUUUAUGCUGCAGUCUAGCAAAUGUUAAUCCAGUUGAAAUUGCAAAAAAUAUCUCUGGAUUGAACCCUGAGAUUACGCUAGGCAAGUGUUGUUUUAUGCUUCUCUAGUCUUGCUACUGGAAAUUUAUCUGUUCAUAUACUGAUAUUUCAUUUGAUAAUAUAACUGUUGUCGAAUCAAAGACUUUCACUACUGCUGAAACCACGUUGAAUGCUCGGACACUGAGAGAAUGGAUUUCCUGUGCAAUUGGGUUAGUGAAUGCUCAAAUCAUAUUGCACUUAGGUUUAUAAACUAGAUUCUGAAAAUCAACGGUGGAUUAAUAUGCAAAUAUAAUAGAUAUAUAUUCUCAUUUCUUUGUGGUUCCCUGGAAAAGGCAUCCAACACUUGCGAAUGUCGUUAUCCGAGUUUUUCAGAUAUUUUAGUGGUAUAUAUACUGAAAAAUGAAUUCAAUUAGUGGACUGUUAUUUAUGCUGAAUUCGCACGCCUAAAAUUUGUUUCCUCUAGUUUGAUACUUGCAUGGUUAUGCCCUUAUUGCAGGCCUGCUGCUGUUGCAAAACAUAUGGUAGUAGGUAGCACUAAUCUCACGGUGAUAUCAUCUCUUGCAAAACAUAUGGUGGCAGUUAAGCUAUACAAUACUCCGUCUAUUUCUUGUUUUAUUCAUUGCCUUGCCUUAAUUCACGGAUAAUAAUCAUUAUUUUGAUUAUGUUGCUGUUUUGUGACUAGGAUUGGAUGUAACUUGGUUAUUGCACUCCUGAAUCUCGAAUCUCUUAAACUGAGUCUAUGCUUGUUAAUUCAAAACUUUUUCUAAAUGAAGAAAGUAUUUAGUCAGAAGGAGAUAUUUAGAUUUUUGAGGUUUAAGUUAGUCUUGUGUUUGAGAGGAAUACCUGAAAAGUAACUAUGAAAAGUGUGUGCAACAAGAAGAAUUACAGUCUCUUCCACGCAUAUUGAAUCUCAAGACUUAAUUUAUCACUUCAUCCCUCUGCAAGCUCAUGACUUGACUUUGUCUCGGAAUGCGAAUUACUUGAUUGUUAGCUUGUGUUUCUAGGAGGGAUCCUCUGGUUGUUUGGGUUAUACCAGGUUUAGAGGAAUUCCAAUUGAUUUCACUAAGUAAAUACAUAGAAAGUGACUAGAUCAUGCAUGAUUAUCCCAAGGAGAAUUUGAUAUAGGGUUCUGGGUGUGAGUGUAGGCGUGGGUGUGUCAUUAUGGAGAGGCCCCAAAGUUAUGGAUCCCUGCAGAUUUCAGAAAACUUACUUAAGGCUAUUACAGAAAGAUCAUAAGCUUGUUGCAUGCAUCUAUUAUUUACUUUUUCAUUGAACUCUGUUAGAUGGUUGAUUCCCUUAACUUGAAUAUCUGGAUAGUCCUUUUCGAAAAAGCCAUUCUGUACACAGUCACAAAAACAACCAUUUUGUAAUGUGGAACAUAAUUUUUGUUUAAUUGGUUCUCUAUUAGAUUUAAAAACAUUAUAUUUGAUGCAAGAAUUGGCGGAAUUUUGUUAGGGUUUAUGCCGCUCGAUUGAAAUUUGUGAUGCUGAGAUUGUGCAUGAAUUCAAAUUUGUUUUCGCGAUCUACUAUGUUUGAAAGUCGUGUUUUUUUCGUAUAUAUAAGUUGUUAAAUUGUUGUUUAGCAAUUAAUUUCACGCCAAAGGUUGUUGGAAGUGAAUAGUGAGAUAUGCAAAUUUUAGGUUAGUGCUAGUAUUGAAGAAUAGCGCUUGAUUCUGAAACUUUUAGGAACUAAAUCUUAAGCCUUUUGUUAAAGUAGGGUUAGAGUAGUGUGUGUAUCGAACCUCGUUUUCCAAUUUAUCUAACAAACUAACAUGAAGACGUUGGAGGCUGAUAGUUGCAUUUGGAAUCAGCUGUAUGUUAUUAAUGGGAAAGACUAGCUUUUGAAGUUCUUUUAUUUCACUUUUUUUGUUCCCCAACUUUUUUGAUAUGGCUGAUUUACUACAGAGUAAUGUUUAAUUUUCUGUUUGGUUUAGCCUGGUGUGAUUUUAUUUCACCCAGGUGAUAGUUCCCAUGAUGUAUUAGUUUACUUGUUCCUUGCUUCACAUGUCCAAUCUUCUGGUACUAAAUGGAGCUUGAAUUUUAAUCUGUAUCUAAUAGCAGGACCAAGAUCUUUUUCGGCCCUGAAAUACUUCAUCAAGGAUUGCAAAUGGUUUUUUGAAAGGAUUUCCUAGCCCUGUCCUAGAUAUGGCAGUUGUUAGGAUAUCUCCAAGCUUGAGCCUGUCAGCUGUUAAUUACGAGGAGCAACAUUCUUGUGUUGUUUCAUUACCCUUACAUCCUGCUUUUUUGCAAUAGCUUUGAAUAUGGAAGUUAAUGGUCUUUUCUGCUUGAAAAUGUUGAUCUAUGCUUAUGAAAACUAUCUGGUUAUUUAGACAUUUACUGAUAUUUUUCUUAAUCUGAUGCUUUAUGAAUGAUGUUUUAUGCUCUACUGAAAUAGUUGUUUCUGUAUAGUGCUCAUAUUUUUUUCUUUAUGUCAGGACAAUUCGGAAAGUCAUUAUGCCGGUUUUAAGACACCUCACAUCCACAACUUGUUUGAUCUCGUCCAAGUUACUCUUGCACGUCAGACACAUGUGUUACAAUCUUCACCAGCUGUUUCAUCAUCAGUUGCUGAUUUUGUUUACAUUUAGAGGAUUAAAUAACGAGCUAAGACCUGAAAAAAGGUUGCAAAGACUCAAAAGGACUUAAUGAAGGUUUGAAUAAAUUCUGCUUUAUAAGGGAAGUUAUUACCGUUUCUUCUAAGCUAAAAUUGGAACGUUUGUAAUCUGUAUUAUGCAGAUACAAUGGUCAAACCUAUAUGAAAAGUUAUUAUGGUGAACAUGGAUCCAGACCUUGUCUUGAUUUGUAUGCUUGCAGUGAGUGUCAAAUGAAACUUGUCCUUGCGGUUAUAUAUUCUGAUGUUCUUAGAUCUUUGUAUCCACUAGUAAUUUUCUAUAUGUAUUUUUCCCAAUGUUAAUUAGAUGGAACUAGUACCAUUCCUGGAGAAUUCAGCAACAUCCUUACAGGCUAGGAACUAUACUCAACCCUGCAUAAUUUCUUAAAUUCAGACCUUGUUACAGGCUAGGACUUCUGUUGUUGUCUCUCUGUUGUUCCGAACUUCUAGUUUGAAGUUUCUACUUUGUUUCAACCUCCCCAGUCAUAUGUGUAAGACUCUAGGAUUCUAGGUAUUCAACUUGAGAAAAGAGAAGUAAAAAAAAAUCAGAAUUAUAUGAGGGAAACAGAUCAGGUGGAGCAGCAAAGGAUGUAAUCAGCAAACAGAUCAGGUGGAGCAGCAAAGGAUGUAAUCAGGUGGAGCAAACUGAUCAAAUGGAGAAGCUGGGAGAUGUAAUCAGAUCCCCAUUAACGUUAAUAGAAGUAUUAUUAUCUUCUAAUUUUGAAUUAUAAGCAGAAGAUUAUGGAUGUUAAUUAACUUCAGUUCUUGUAAUGUAAUGUCUUGGUUGUGCUUUACAUGAUUAUGGAUGUUAGAUCUUACUAAUUUUAUUUUUCUUAUAGGAUCAACAUGAUGGAUUGGAUCAGAUAGAAAAUGAUGAUUUAGUUGACAUUGAGAAUCAUGCAGACGUAAGGGAAACCAGUUGAAGAUGAAAAGAUAGAAGACAUUUAGUUUUGGUUAUACAUUUUAGUUUUGGAUAUGAUCAUUUGAUUUUAUUUUAAACAUAAUAAUGUAAUUUUCAUAAAUCGUACAUCAAAUACUACUAUUUUAAUUUGUUAAUUUCUUAGGGAGCGGGUGUGCUCCCUUCCUUUAGUUGUUUCCUUGUUUGGAACUUAUUUUGUGUACGUACUAUCUUUUGGUAAUAAAAUUGCUAUUUUACCAAAAAA